rnacentral:rRNA from 1 species
AACGAACGCUGGCGGCAGGCUUAACACAUGCAAGUCGAGCGCCCCGCAAGGGGAGCGGCAGACGGGUGAGUAACGCGUGGGAAUCUACCCAUCUCUACGGAAUAACGCAUGGAAACGUGUGCUAAUACCGUAUACGUCCUUCGGGAGAACGAUUUAUCGGAGAUGGAUGAGCCCGCGUUGGAUUAGCUAGUUGGUGGGGUAAAGGCCUACCAAGGCGACGAUCCAUAGCUGGUCUGAGAGGAUGAUCAGCCACACUGGGACUGAGACACGGCCCAGACUCCCACGGGAGGCAGCAGUGGGGAAUAUUGGACAAUGGGCGCAAGCCUGAUCCAGCCAUGCCGCGUGAGUGAUGAAGGCCCUAGGGUUGUAAAGCUCUUUCACCGGUGAAGAUAAUGACGGUAACCGGAGAAGAAGCCCCGGCUAACUUCGUGCCAGCAGCCGCCGCGGUAA